GGCAGGACUUUGGUGAGACCAAAGUGAAGCUCAGAGGUUGAUGAGACGAAGAUGUCUUUAGAAAUGGGUCUUAAGAUCCAUGGAGGACUAUAAUUGAUUAAUUAAUCUGAGUUAUAGUAGGAGUUUUGUCAUCAGCAGUUCUCUGAAGACUACAGGACCUCUGGAUUCCUUCCAAGUUAAACAAUCGUGAAUACAGUUGCUAUGAAGAUAUGUGUGAAGGUUUUGUGUGGACAUAAAUUUUCAACUCAUUUGGGUAAUUACCAAGAAACAUGUUCUCUGGAUAAUAUGAUUUUUUCAUUUAUGUUCAUGAAAUAUAUGGGCCUGAAGAUAAUGGUGGUGAUGGCUGUCACCUGGAACUGCAUCUGGUGCUCUUGACUGGAACAUCUCCACGUGGCUUCUUCAUGUGGCUACUUGGUUUUCUCAGAGGCUGGUGACUGUAUGUUAGUGUAAACCCCCCAAGACAAUUAAAUAGAAGCUCUAUUCUAUAUAGCCUCAGAGGUACUUAGUGUCUCCUCCUCCUUAGUCAAAAGUCAUUCAGAUUCAAAAGGAGAAAACACAGAUUCUGCCUUUUGAUGGGAGGAGUGCAGAAGAAUUUGGGGCAUUUUAAAAAAUAACACCACAAUGGGAAAAUAAUAAGGUAAAAUCUACCAGCAAACCCUAACAUAGUCCCUCAGUCCCUUUCCAUAAAAUAAAGAGAUUCUUUGUUUGCUGGAAAAGUAAACUUCAGAAAAUUUGAUUUUUGAAAUGAUUUUCAAAAAAAAAAAAAUGUACUUCUGGGGAAUUCCCUAGCAGUCCAGUGGUUCGGACUUGGUGCUCUCACUGCUGGGGCCCUGGGUUCUAUACCUGGUAGAGAAUUAAAAUCCCACAAGCCACCCAGAGAGGCAAAAAAAAAAAAAAGUACCUCUGUUAAUAGUGGUUACUCUCAGUGAAGAUGUAGUUACUGAGUUACUGGAAAGGUACAUGCAAGGAGUUUCUGAGAUGCUAGUAAUGUUUUGUUUCUUGAUCUAGAUGCUGAUUAAAGAGGUACAUUCACUUUAUGAGAGGACAUUCAGUUUAUGUAUAUAUCUGUGCCCAUUUAUAUACAGAUACAAUAUUUCAGCAUAGUAUUGCAUUUGAAGAGUAUGUAAACAGGGUUCCAUAUGUAAAGAGCUUGGAAGUUGCCACUCCAUCAUAAUAACAAGUAAAAGCUAAACAGACUGAAAAAUCAACAACUGUUCUUGGAUCUGUUAGAAAGGGGAGGGUGAAGGGAAAACCAAUGCCUGUAAGAUUGGAGAGACAGGCCAAGACAGGGAAUCCCAGCUUACUAGAGCAGAGAAGCACAAGCAGAAACUGUCAUGGGAACCAGUGCCGGGGUAGGAAAACCUGUAUUGCAAUUAACCAAUUGCUAGAAGCAAAGUGCAGACACUUCUGAGUUAAAAUCUCCAAGGGGGAGUUGUGGGACUUCCACAAUAUUGUGAGAUUUACCUCAAGGAUCUUGACCAGAUUCCCACAGUAAAUAUAGGAGAAAAGUGUCCUCAUACUUCCAAUGAAGGACGGAAAAAGAAGCUAUUUAGAAAUAUAUUAGAGCAUUCUGUUGUUUUUUUUUUAUUUUAUUGAAGUACAGUUG